AAAAGGAAGCACACCCACACAUUUUUAACAAUAUUUUCAUUUUUCUUCUCAUAUAAGAUUUCUUUAGUGUUUAGUGCUAUGAUUUAAAGCAGUCCCUAUAUAGCUUGUAUGACAAAGUACAUUUACUCAUCAUAGAGGCACAGCCAUUAGCGUCUGGCAAAAAAAAAAGGGAUUUCUGUACAAAAAAGUACCGUGCUGUCAAGUGCUGCUUGGUCUUUUCCGGUCUAAAUAAAAAAUGUUAUUUACAAUACAGUGUUAACAGCACUUGUCCGCACUAGCACCACAGACUCAGACAUACAGUACAUCGCCUUUGUACAACCUUGUCCUCUGAACCGAGCAGCAAUUUAGAGAAGCUUUUUAAGAUGUAUGUGUCCUCUUGCAUAAUCAUAUAUUAAAUUACCGUAAGUAGAUUGUUCUAAACAUAGUGCUUGCACUAGGUGCUAUGAAUUGAAUUCCUAUGAAAUAUUACUGUGGAUAUUUAAGCAGGACAUAUCUACAAUUGGGUUGUUUGCGUAUUAACGAGUUUGAAAUGAAGUAUGAUCACACUGCUCCUUCUACUGGCAAACUAGGAACCUACGAACAACAAUAAGGAAUGGGACGUACUACGUCAUUGUUUGGACCCGCCUCCAUGCUGGCAAUAUAAUUCACUUCCGGGCCGGCAGAGUCAAUGCGGAUUGUAACGUGUGGUAGUGCUAAGCUAACUCUUUCGGUGUUUUAGAAAGAAAAUAUGGGUGCUUAUUGUUGCGUUACCGGGUGCAACAGCGUCUCCUACGACAAAAAAAGGGGUUAGGAAAAAUGGACUCACUUUUCACCGUUUUCCUGCAUGGAGGACCAAAUAUCAGAUCACGAAGGUACGACGGAUGGCUGGAUUGCAGCGGUUCGUCGGAAAAGCAUUUCUUAUGAUCAUAUUUCUGCUGGAAUGAGAGUGUAUUCCCCUCAUCUCUACUCUUGAAAACCUGCAUAUGAAAUGCUGACAACACAUCCCGAUUGGUCACCAUAUCUCUUCUUGGGUUAUUCUGAGGUCAAGCGCACCACAUCGGAGCGUUGAGAGGUUGGAAAGGCGAAGAGUGCACGCUGAAACUUCAGUUUGCUCUGCUCUUACAAACACGAUCCCAAGUGUUAUGAAAAGUCAAUAAAA